GACGAACCGUGCAAACGUUGUUCGGAAUCACUGGGCUUAAAGGGCGCGUAGGCGGGUCGUCAAGUCCGGGGUGAAAUCUUUCGGCUCAACCGGAAAAGUGCCUCGGAUACUGGCGGCCUGGAGGGAGGUAGGGGCAUGCGGAACUUCCGGUGGAGCGGUGAAAUGCGUUGAUAUCGGAAGGAACGCCGGUGGCGAAGGCGGCAUCCUGGACCAAUAUUGACGCUGAGGAGCGAAAGCCAGGGGAGCAAACGGG
rnacentral:rRNA from 1 species